rnacentral:rRNA from 1 species
ACGGGAGGCAGCAGUGAGGAAUAUUGGUCAAUGGUCGGAAGACUGAACCAGCCAUGCCGCGUGAAGGAUUAAGGCCCUAUGGGUCGUAAACUUCUUUUGUACGGGAGCAAUAAGGCUUACGAGUAGGCCGAUGAGAGUACCGUACGAAUAAGCAUCGGCUAACUCCGUGCCAGCAGCCGCGGUAAUACGGAGGAUGCAAGCGUUAUCCGGAUUUAUUGGGUUUAAAGGGUGCGCAGGCGGCACGUUAAGUCAGCGGUGAAAUGUCGGGGCUCAACCCGGGCACUGCCGUUGAAACUGGCGAGCUUGAGUACGGAUGAAGUCGGCGGAAUGUGAUGUGUAGCGGUGAAAUGCUUAGAUAUGUCACAGAACACCGAUUGCGAAGGCAGCUGACUAAUCCGCAACUGACGCUCAGGCACGAAAGCGUGGGGAUCGAACAGGAUUAGAUACCCUGGUA